UCCAUCACCCUUUGAUCCUUUCUUGAUAUGGAUAAGAUCUAAUUCAAAUUUGAUUUGAAUCAAAUUCUUAUCUGGCAUAAAAAAAAACUUAUUUUGUGUGAAAAAAUAAAAGAAAUAGGUGCGACGUGCGGUAUGGUGAGUGCUAGGUUUCUUUCCUAUCGCUAGCUCUCUUCUAUCGCCCACUUUCUUCCUUUUUUCUUUCACAUCCACACCUAUCAUCUGAUGAGAUCAGAUCUGUGAGAGAGGGAGAAAUAAGAGAGAGAAAGAAAGAUAAGAAG
rnacentral:lncRNA from 1 species